GUGCUGUUGGAGACAGCCUAAGGCGCUAUUCCGCUCGAACGCUCCAGUCCUUCAGCGCUUCUGCCGGCGCACCGCGCCGCUAGCGCGCUCCGCGCUGCACUGCAGGCCUGCAGGCUGCAGCAGCUCGGCCGCUCGGCGAGCCGCCUGCUGGGUGCUGGGCCGCUGGCUGCUCGCCUGCAAGCUGCAGCAGCUCAGCUGCUCGGGCCUCAGGCGUUCGACGAGCUCACGAGCCGCUGCUGGGCGCUGGGCCGCUGGCUGCUCGCCUGCCCGGCUGCCUCUGCUGUGCUGCCUGCUCCCGUGCUCUGCUGUCCGCUGCUCGCAGCUCACCUGCCUGCUGCCUCUGGUGCGUGCUGCCUGCUUCGCUGUCCGCUGCUGGCUCCGUCGCAGCGUCCCGGCCAAGAAGCCUAAUCGUAUCCAAGAAGAUCUUCUGCAACAACAGUGUUUUUAAUCACAAGCUAGUUGGCGGGUAGGCUAGAUGAAACCUAACAUGAGCCACCAACAAAGAGAUGUUCUGCACCAAACAGGGCUAAGGAACAGAUCUGAGUGCCUUUCAGCAUUUGCAUGCAAGCAAGCAGCUGUGAAUAACUUCCUAAUUCAUUACUUUAUUUCAUCCAAGCAAAACAUAUCUUGUCAAAUAGAAUUUUUACUUAAUUUCUCUAAGUUUUAAAAGGAACAUGCCACUCCGUCUGGCAAAAGAACUGGCAAUCAACGUGCAUGAACUGUGAUCUUUGUCUGUUUUCUGUUUACCCUUAACUCUACCUUCUGUCUUA